GUAAAAUUAUUUUCUCACAUAGAAAAUUUUCAGAGAAAAUCAUUCCACCCCACAUGUAUACAUUUUAUCAAAAGUUUUUUAAUAUUCGUCAAAUUUCUUUCCUGACUUUGUGCUGUUUCUUCAUGUGGGCACCUAGCUGUCUUAGCAUUUCAUUUUAAAAAUAGCGUCAAGCAAAUUGGAUUCGCGAACAUAAACAAUGCAGCAAAGUGAAAUUUGAGCUGUCAAACUACGACAUGAUAGCUGAUGUUAUGCCAAUGAUGGCAAGAAAUUCGAAUUUUGAAAAUGCAGAAUUACGACUGAAAGGAAUCUACCCGGAAGAUGUAUCAAUUUAUUUUAGAACUUUUAUUCGCAUGAAUAAACAUAUAACAGUAUAUUUCAGAUAUACUAGGGCAAUCUGAUGAGCUUAUCGCAAUCAAGAUCAGUCAUAGGUAAAGGCUGGAAAGAAAGAUUGAAGCGUAAAUAGCCGCAUCAUCUCACGCAGCAGCCAACUACUCUGCAAAGAGCAUCAUAAUUCAUUUGUAUAACGCCAAACCCUAAACAAAUUGUUACUUAUAUCUACUAGUUACCAUGAAAUAAUAAAAAAAGGUAACUUUAACCAAAACAGA